AUUGAACGCUGGCGGCAUGCCUUACACAUGCAAGUCGAACGGUAACGCGGGGCAACCUGGCGACGAGUGGCGAACGGGUGAGUAAUGUAUCGGAACGUGCCCAGUUGUGGGGGAUAACUGCUCGAAAGAGCAGCUAAUACCGCAUACGACCUGAGGGUGAAAGCGGGGGAUCGCAAGACCUCGCGCAGUUGGAGCGGCCGAUAUCAGAUUAGGUAGUUGGUGGGGUAAAGGCUCGCCAAGCCAACGAUCUGUAGCUGGUCUGAGAGGACGACCAGCCACAAUGGGACGGAGACACGGCACAGGCUCCUACGGGAGGCAGCAGUGGGGAAUUUUGGACAAUGGGCGCAAGCCUGAUCCAGCCAUGCCGCGUGCGGGAGGAAGGACUUCGGGUUGUAAACCGCUUUUGUCAGGGAAGAAAAGACUCCUGUUAAUACCGGGGGUUCAUGACGGUACCUGAAGAAUAAGCACCGGCUAACUACGUGCCAGCCGCCGCGUAAAAC
rnacentral:rRNA from 1 species